GCGAGCGGAGGGGCGGAAGCCGUGGUAAAGGUUAGGUGGCAGGCGUUGUCCGGAAUGAUUGGGCGUAAAGCGGUCGUAUGCGGUCGGUUGGGUCGGCUGGGAAAACCCGGGGCUUAACCCUGGGCUUGCAGUGGAUACGGACAGACUAGAGGUAGGUAGGGGAGAAUGGAAUUCCCGGUGUAGCGGUGAAAUGCGCAGAUAUCGGGAGGAACACCGGUGGCGAAGGCGGUUCUCUGGGCCUUACCUGACGCUGAGGAGCGAAAGCGUGGGGAGCGAACAGGAUUAGAUACCCGAGUAGUC
rnacentral:rRNA from 1 species